rnacentral:rRNA from 1 species
UACGAAGGGGGCUAGCGUUGUUCGGAAUUACUGGGCGUAAAGGGCGCGUAGGCGGUGUGUCAAGUCAGGCGUGAAAGCCCCGGGCUCAACCUGGGAACCGCGCUUGAGACUGGCACGCUCGAGUUCGGGAGAGGAUGGUGGAAUUCCCAGUGUAGAGGUGAAAUUCGUAGAUAUUGGGAAGAACACCGAUGGCGAAGGCAGGUCUCUGGGCUGACACUGACGCUCAUGCACGAAAGCGUGGGGAGCAAACAGG